AUUUUGAGUCAUAUUAAGCAAUGUUUCCCCAUUUUCAGAAUAUAGAAGAAUUCAUAACUGCUUUUUAAAAAUACAUGUACAGUUCCUUUUUAAAGCCUUGAUUUAAAUAUCUGAUCCAUUGGGAAUUUAUCCUGGAUUAUGGUGUAAGAAAUGGAUCCAAUUUUAUCUUUCUCCAUAUGGCUAUCCAGUUAUCUCAGCAAUGUUUAUUUAACUGUCCAUCUUCUACCCAGCAAUUUGAGAUGCUACCUAUAAAGCAUACUAAAUGGUCACAUGUGAUUGUAUCUUGUUUCUGAACUUUCUACCUUUUCAUUAGUUUGUCUGCCUAUUCAUGUGCUAAUAUCAAACUGUUUAAAUAAUAAAGUUUUUAAUAGUACUUUCUAAAGAAAUCUGAUAUAGUUUUUCCUUCCAGCUGUUGUCCUGAACAUUGCUUUUCUUUUUUAGAGUUUAUCUGGUUAUUCUUACUUGUUUUUAAAUUCCUAAUGAACUUUAUAAUCAAUUUGUUUAACUCUAGAAAAAAGCCUGGAGACAUUGAACUAAGAUCAAAUUUAAUGUAUUAAAUAUGGUAGAAAGAAGAGAGAAUGAAAAAUAAUGUUAACAAUCUAGGUGAGGAAUUGCUGAGGAGACAAAUUAAGUAAAUCCUGUGGAAGGAAAGAAGAAAGGAGGAAAGAGGAUUGGAUGGAAGAAUCUCCACUUCUCAUAGGUGUAGUCCUUCCUUAGCCUGCUUUUUAAUGAGUGCUGCUAAAGCCCUUAGCCUGCCUGUUUACCCUUGGAGUGGAGCAAUGAACUGAAGAUAUUUGAGUGAGUUCAAGAGAGACUCAGAAGAGAAGAAUUGGAGGCAGCAAACAUAGACAGCACUUUUAAUGCUUUUCUCAUAUGCUGUAAGACAUGAAAGCAAUCUAUUGGGAUGAAAGCUGAAAGGAGAAGCGGGACAAGAGAAGUGAAUCCGUGGAAGACCCCCAAAAGAGGCUGCAGAUUCUUAGUGGACAGCUCUCAUAUCCCCUCCAGGGAAAAUGAUGAAAAAUGUCUUCAGAAAAAUAGCUUUAUGAAGGCAAGAGGACUUUUUGCACCUGCAAGACAUGUCUGAAAGCUCCUCAGGUCAAAACACAAGUAGUCAAGAGAUUUGUCCAUCUAAUUCAUCAUACUACUCUGAUCCAAGUGAGACCCACACUGGGUCAGCUCCAUCAAGGAGAAGAACAUUCCACCCACGUUUGGAUUCUGGAAUAUCAUCCUUGCUUCCAUCAGAUUCUUGUAAGUACCUCACUUGGCACAAGGUAGACAUGACGUUCAAGGAAGUCAACUGCGUUGCCCAAGAGUAAGAGAAGGAAUCUCUGAAGAAGAGCAACUUUUCAGACAGGUAGAGUGUGCCUUGCUCCCAAGGAAAAGAGUUCUUGAAAAAAACAAAUGGGAAACAUGGCUACAAGAAAACUGGGAAGACUGCAAGAAAAUCUCAGAAUCUGCUUGAGAAUCCGGUCCUUCUUCCUCCAUACACCCAUGGAACACUCCCAAACUCUGUAUGCUGCUCACUAAUUCUGAUUAAGGUCUUCACCCUCCCUACCUUGGAAAUUGCUACAACAUAAUUGUGUUUAAUUUGAACAUUUCAUUUCAGGGUUUGGGGGAUCCUUACCAAGUUGAAAAUUUUAACAGAAUUCUUAGAAGACUAAUUCGAGUUGAAACCCUCUGGGAUUGCUAGAGAACCCCUUUUACAGGGAGCUGCUAUUUGCUUCAGCAGGCAGAAUGCGUAGGUGGAGUGAGCUUUGGUGGCAAUGAGAGGGGCCAACAGAGGUCCUCAGGAGUGAAUUAGAUGAAGGAAAUUGAGCAUCCACAAAAAGGAAAGAUCCACCAAUAAGAAGACAGCACAAUUCAAAAGAGAAAGGACUUAAUGACAGAGCUAAUAAUGCAAAAACAUGCUAACUGACAAGAAAAUCAUGGGUUUUAUACAAGGAUAACAAGUGCUGGGUUGCUUAGCUAUGAGGAAGGCUAGGCUCACUGCAUACCAGAAGAUGUACAGCGUUGGAGAAUUCAGGGAUUUUUAUCAACAAUCAAACUAUAUUUGUGGAAAUUUUGUGCAUAAGUGCCAAAGAUGGCUGACAUCGGACCACAUUCUAUUUAACUCAACUGAAUGACACCAAGCUCUCAUCCUAAAACUUAUAGUUACAUCCACCCUUCUGAAAUAUUUAAUUAUUCUCCAAUACACUGGAGGUAAUAGGUAUAAAAAGAAUGAGCAUGUGCAACUUAGUAUCUCAUAUCUAAUUUUGUGUCCCAAGUUCAUUCUUCCCCUGAAUGUCCCAUGUCUACCAGGUGCAGGAUUAUCUGGAUGGGUCAGUUCAAAACAAUUUCAGGGAAUAAAUUGUGUAGGGGACUCAAUUUUCUGAGACAGAAACAUAAUGUGAAUAACUCCUUUGUUAGAAAAUAAUUUCAGUGACAGAAAGCCUUUCAGUUCAUAAAGAAAACUUACAUAUCAACAAGCCUAGCUCCUCACUAGUCCCAGUGAAUGCUUACAUCAAUCAGCUCUACAAUAUCCAGUAAAGGACUUUCCAAUUCGCCUUUGAAUAAACUGAGGUAUUGGAAACAUCUAAGAAAAUGGUUUUUAAUUCUUCCUAAUCUUCAGGGAGUUCUUCCUUAUAUUGAGCUGAUAUCUGCCCUCUGUAACUUUCAACUAAUUAUUCAAAUCUCUCAAGUGAUUAUAAUUAAUUCCAUCUUAUAAGGAAUUUUUCUCAGCUUCCAGCCUCUUGAAAAUACUCUGAUAUUUUCUCUAAUAUUCAAGUGGAAAUGUAAAUGGGUAACGUAAGAGUCUGUGGGGUUAGGAGGGUGGAGGAAAGGUAAGGGAAAGCUAAUGAGAAAUAACCAAAGCAAGAAAAAGAAUUUUAUUUUCUUCAAGUUCUUUGUACAUCCAAAGUGGAAGAUUCCUAAAAUAAAUUCCCCAUACCACAUUUUAAAAAUUAGGUUAGCAAGCUUACUUUUUAAUUUAUUUAGAAGCCAACUACUUCCAUUUAUUAUUUCUUUCCAGAAUAGAACAAUUAUCACUAAUUGUUUGUCAUUAUAAUGCCAAACUAUGUUAAUAGAUGCCUAUUUUUUUAAAGGCUAAUUGCAAUCAUGAAACCAAAUAUCUAAUUAGUUUUAGAGCUUUGGACCACAUGCAUCAAUAUUUGAAUCAUUCAGGUGUAUAUUUGCUUUCUGCUUUUUUGUCUCUUCAAAAGAAGUAUUAUAUGCAUUCUGUUUAUAAUUUCUAAAUGGUCAUUUCAAAACUGAUUAUACGAGUUUAUACAAAUCAUACUGAAAUUUGUUGCUUAAAAAAUCUUCAUUUUUCUCUAAGCUCUCAGUGUCCUUGAGCUAUAUAUAUUUUAUGGCAAUUUUUACUUAAUAGUUUGUAUGCUAGUUAUUUUUGACAAUGACUACUAAAAUGCAAGUUUCUUCAAGGGCAGAUUCACCUUAGUUCUUCUUUAUACCCCUCAAAAACCUCAGGGUUAUUCUCAAUAAGUAUUGAGUAGGUGAGUGAACUUUGGAUGUAUACUCCUUGAAAUUAUAUUUCUGGAGCUGGAAAACUUUAAAAAAAUGUAUGUCAUGAGUCUAAAGAAAUAAACAUUAUAUGGCUGAAAAAAUACUUUGUGAAAACCAAAAAUCUCAUGGAAUCAUGAACUUAUCUAUGGGACAGAUGUUAGCCCUGAGGUUGUUCUGGGCUUCUUUUCUACCCACUUCCCAUGACCAAAUCAGUUCACUAGUCAGCAGUUCUAUCCUUCCUCUCCUUCUCCUUCCAUCUAAGGAGCUAGAGCUGAACUGCUUGGCCACUGAUUGCUGACAUGCUGAGUUUUCUACAGCUGGAGUUUUCAAGAGGGCUUUGAUUUUGCUUUCCCCAGUUUUCCUUCUUCCACACUUGAAAAGUGGUAAGGGUACCAGCUUUCUGUCUAUCUCUGACUCUCUCUCUCUCUUUCACACACACACACACACACACACACACACACACACACACUUUUUUUUUUCUUCCACCCUCCUGCACAGCAGGAGACCUUGCCUUGAUCUUUGAAGGUCUACAGCAAGUGGUCUAGGCUAACUCAGUGCUGGGCAAAUGGAGCAAAAACUCUUUUCUGCUUCCUUGCCUCCAUGUCUUUCAGAGCUAGCAGAUACAGCUUUUGUUCUAUAGGAGUGAUUCUUUCUAAAUGUCAGCUCAACAGGAUGAUGGUCACUCUUGUAUAUCACUUAGGCAUGAGUUCUGUUGAAUCCCA
rnacentral:lncRNA from 1 species